rnacentral:misc_RNA from 1 species
GGGAGAUAGUGGCUAGUGAUAAUAGUUCUGUACCAUCCAAGAGGGAAGAAAGUGCUCGCAAGUUGAUGUCAACAUCAAAAGAGCGAAAGGAUGUUGCAGAAAUAUCUCGAAACAAAAGCAACUUAGAUGAACGUACUCCAGAUAAAUAUGGAAAGGGUGCUGUUUUAUCCGUAGAAGAUGUUGCAAAAUCUCAGGAUAUCAG